UACGAAGGGGGCUAGCGUUGCUCGGAAUCACUGGGCGUAAAGCGCACGUAGGCGGAUUUCUAAGUCAGGGGUGAAAUCCUGGAGCUCAACUCCAGAACUGCCUUUGAUACUGGGAAUCUCGAGUCCGGGAGAGGUGAGUGGAACUGCGAGUGUAGAGGUGAAAUUCGUAGAUAUUCGCAAGAACACCAGUGGCGAAGGCGGCUCACUGGCCCGGUACUGACGCUGAGGAGCGAAAGCGUGGGGAGCGAACAGG
rnacentral:rRNA from 1 species